UACGGAGGGUGCAAGCGUUGUUCGGAAUUAUUGGGCGUAAAGGGCGUGUAGGUGGCUUUUCAAGUCCGGUGUGAAAUCCCACGGCUCAACCGUGGAACUGCAUUGGAAACUGGAUGGCUCGAGGGUUGGAGGGGGUCGCGGAAUUCCCGGUGUAGAGGUGAAAAUUCGUAGAUAUCGGGAGGAACACCAGUGGCGAAGGCGGCGACCUG
rnacentral:rRNA from 1 species